GGCGGGAUGGCAGAACCAGGUUAUUGCGACUGGCUCAAGACCAGUUGAUUCCCCAAGAAUCAUGCGGGUUCAAAUCCCGCUCCCGCCG
rnacentral:tRNA from 1 species